GAGAUUUUAAGGUGGUUCAAAGAGACAGAAGGCAGCAAUACAAAGUAACCAAGGCUACAGCUAUUCCUCAGGUUAGUAUUAAAUAUAUCUGAAAUACCUUUGAUCUGCUUAUAUGGGUGGAUAAGGAGGACCGAAAACUAGAAUGAAGUCAUUGGUUUCAUUUUCAGACUUCUACUAGUGGAUCAAUUACUUGAAAAGGCUCUUGGAAUCCUGAACAUAUUAGUUUGGAUUAGCUUGGUGACCUAUCCAAGCUGUAUUGAAAAGGCCCGGGUAUAUCACACAGUCUGGUGUAGGAAUCUGCACUUCUGAACUACAGACUUAUUAAUGUGUUAUGAAAGUAUGGGUAACUGCUGGGAUACUGUACUCACCAGUAUGAGUGAAAAGUGCCUAACAUCUACAGGAAUCCAGGAGAUAACAAGAAACAGCCUAGGAUAGAGGAAACAUAGCCUUAAGUUCUGAAAUGGAGAAGCAGAUGAAAGCUGGAACUCACUCAUCAGACACAUAUGCUGUACCACCUGCUCGUUUGUGCAAAAGAGAAAUAGGAUGAGCACCAACUUCUCUGGGAAAUUAGCUUUUGUGCUUUCUUUAUAAAUAUCCAACAAGAACAGUGGAACAUGUAGUGCCAAAGCAAAUAGUUGCCAUUGCUUUCCUUUUCACUCCCCAAUUCUGCAUCUGAUUGGAAUAUCUGAAUAUGGAUUUUGAGUCUUGCAUACACCGAGUGAAUCUGCAGCCUUGUUCCCGCUCUGCACUACACCAUUGCUAUUCCUGUGCUUUGCUGCCCAAUCUUGCUGACCCUUGCCUUGUAACUUUCAGACUAGGACCUACUUUGUCACUGCAGACUUGAUUGGCCACCAUGGGCUGUUGCCCAAACCUGGCUUCUGUCACUGGUCCUGUUCCCAUGGUCCAAGUACUGACAGACUGCACAGUGGCUGGUCAGGACGUUGGUUCUUUGUGCCUCGGUGGUUCUGGCAUGUGAUUUUCCUCAUAUAGAAGUAAGGGAGCAGCAAGGUUGGGCUGCUGUUUGUUGUGGCUUUUUGUUGUUGCUUGCUUUGCUUUUCCCUUAUUGGUAUUUUUUUGUUCAUAAUUACUAUUCAGCUGCUAGCAUCUCCACUCAAUCUAAAAGGUCAGUUUAUGGAGAUUGAGUUCCUAUUAUUCCCAAUUCAGCAACUUAGUUAAAAACUUAUUAGAUACUUAUUGAAGAAAGCAUUGCUCACUGGGAUGCUGAUCUGCAUUUGCUCUCUUAUUAAAGAUCAGUGUUAGGGAAGGCUGGAAGAACAUGAAGGACUUGUAAUUUAUCCACAGAAAAGCAGGACAUAGGAACAUCUACAUUUUCCAGUAGUUCUGGCAAAAUCUUCAAGGUCUGGCAGAUGUAGAAAGAGACACAAGGUGGAAGAAAAAAGUACUCUAAAUCUCAAAUGCACAUACUAUUACUCAGGCAUGAACCUGCUUCCUUACUGAAACUUUUCUGUCUUAGGGUGGAAACAAGAAUUGUCACAAUAGCUGGAUAAAAGAAUAAAAAAUGCUGAGGGAGCUGGGCUUGUUCAGCCUGGAGAAAAGAAGGCUGCAAGGGUGACCUAAUUGCAGCCUUUCAGUACCUAAAGGGAGCCUACAAACAGGAGGGAAGUCAACUCUUUGAAAGGGUAGAUAACAGUAGAACAAGGGGAAAUGGUUUUAAGUUGAAGGAGAGAAGAUUUAGUUUGGAUGUGAGGGGGAAGUUCUUUACUAUGAGAGUGGUGAGGUGCUGGAACAGGCUGCUCAGAGAGGUUGUGGAUGCCCUGUCCCUGGAGGUGUUCAAGACCAGGUUUGAUGGGGCCCUGGGCAGCCUGGUCUAGUAGUUAGUGCGGAGGUUGGUGGCCCUGCCUGUGGCGGGGGGUUGGAGUUUGAUGAUCCUUGAGGUCCCUUCCAACCUGGACCAUUCAUUGAAAAAUGUCUUCACUCCCAAAGCACAAAUAUUCUGCAGAAAAAUAGUUUACAUUCACUGAGGGUGAGAUGAACUGAAUCUCACGUCUUUCUCUAAAUAUUCUCAGAUAAGGCAUAACCACAACAGAUUGAAACAUCAGUUCCUCAACAAGAGUUACCACUCCUAAUCAGCGCUGUUGAUGACUUGCAGUGGCUUCUCCUAACCUCAUUAGAACCACACAGAGAUGAACCUAACCUCCUAAUAAUACUCUUUUUCUUUCCCCCUUCAGUUUUAUCUGUAAAGAAGUGCAAGGUGAGGUUUGUGAUUUUGGAACUGAGCUUCUGGAUGAAGCAGAUGUUGACCGGUUCUUGUGGCUGUUUUGCACCCACAGUUCGAGAAGGAAACAGUUCAGAAUACCUCUUUGCUGGAAAUAAUAAUCACUGAAUGUAGCCUGUCUGCACUACAGCGAUAUGAGAAAAACUUUUAAAAGCAGUUAAUGCUUUAGGGAUUAAAUGCUUGCAAGCUGACUGAAUUGUCCACAUGACAAGUUUUCAUGACAACACACAGGACAAAACAAAUGAGGCUGAUGGGGCACUUAAAACGUGCUGCUCCAGCUCAGAGUACUCAGGCUAGCUAACACAGCUUUCAAAUGCAUAAUAUAUGCCAUUUAGGCAUUAUAAGGCUUAAAUUAUAGGAGUAUUCCAAACCACAAGCAGUUUGCUCAGCUUCUUGGUUAAUGCACUUUUACAGUUCUGACCGACACUUUGGAAUACGUAUCCCAAAGCAAUGCAUAAUCGGAGAUAGGCACUAGGUGGCGUGGAAGAGCUAGUUUGCAGGAAAAUACGUUUGUGCAGUUCUUAGAUUGACCAAUAUUCUUUUGCCACAGCUCAUGUUGCAGUGAGAGUCGUUCAUAAUAAUUGAUCUGGUUCUCUAGAUUUGAUCAGAUACAAAUGUAAAAACUAAAUCAAAGUAAGUGUUUAUUGAGGUAAUCUUCUCAACUGUUUUUUUUUCUCCCUCUUUCUGAAGUUACAAAUAUCUUCCCAUAAGAAAAAAGACUAUUUUCACUUCCCCCCCCCCCCCUUUCUUUUCAUUUUUGAAGUACUUCCUUAACCCAGCCUUGUACAUUCUGAAAUGCUGGGGUGUUCUUCCAAAGGAGUGUGUUUAAUCUUAGCCUGUAUUU
ensembl:lncRNA